rnacentral:rRNA from 1 species
UUAUCCGGAUUUAUUGGGUUUAAAGGGAGCGUAGGCGGACGUUUAAGUCAGUUGUGAAAGUUUGCGGCUCAACCGUAAAAUUGCAGUUGAUACUGGGUGUCUUGAGUACAGUAGAGGCAGGCGGAAUUCGUGGUGUAGCGGUGAAAUGCUUAGAUAUCACGAAGAACUCCGAUUGCGAAGGCAGCUUGCUGGACUGUAACUGACGCUGAUGCUCGGAAGUGUGGGUAUCAAACAGGAUUAGAUACCCUGGUAGUCCACACAGUAAACGAUGAAUACUCGCUGUUUGCGAUAUACAGUAAGCGGCCAAGCGAAAGCGUUAAUUAUUCCACCUGGGGAUU